GACGUCAAUGGAAAAGUGGUUCUUUGGAAAGGAGAUGUGGCAUUACUGAACUGUACAGCCAUUGUGAAUACCAGCAAUGAAAGUCUCACAGAUAAGAAUCCUGUGUCAGAAAGUAUCUUCAUGCUUGCAGGGCCUGAUUUGAAGGAAGAUCUCCAGAAACUUAAAGGGUGCCGAACAGGUGAAGCAAAAUUGACAAAAGGAUUCAAUCUAGCUGCCCGGUUCAUCAUUCACACAGUGGGACCUAAAUAUAAGAACCGCUAUCGCACAGCAGCUGAGAGUUCCCUUUAUAGCUGCUACAGAAACGUACUUCAACUAGCAAAAGAGCAGUCAAUGUCUUCUCUUGGCUUCUGUGUCAUCAAUUCUGCAAAACGUGGUUAUCCUUUAGAGGAUGCAACACACAUAGCACUUCGCACUGUAAGGAGAUUCCUAGAGAUUCAUGGGGAAACCAUUGAAAAAGUAGUAUUUGCUGUCUCUGAUCUUGAAGAGGGUACUUACCAAAAGCUGCUACCUCUCUACUUCCCAAGGUCAUUAAAAGAGGAGAAUCGAUCAUUGCCCUACCUACCUGCAGAUAUUGGAAAUGCAGAAGGGGAGCCUGUGGUACCUGAACGACAGAUUAGAAUAAGUGAGAAACCUGGUGCUCCAGAAGAUAACCAAGAAGAGGAGGAUGAAGGCUUGGGAGUUGAUCUCUCUUUCAUUGGCUCUCAUGCUUUUGCUCGAAUGGAAGGAGAUAUUGACAAGCAAAGAAAACUGAUCCUUCAGGGACAAUUAUCAGAGGCAGCUCUGCAGAAGCAGCAUCAAAGAAAGUAAGACAGCCCUUCAGGACUGUUAGAUACGUAAGGACAUCAGAAGCAAGAAAGGGACCUUGCAUCUGAUGCAUGAGCUACGUGUAUAUAUAAUGCAUUCCAAUUUAUUUUUCAUGACAAUCAGUGAGGAAGAUAUCGUCCUCAUUUUGGAGGUGCAAAAACCCAAAGUUAAGAAAGUUAUCAGUGGCCAGUUAAUAUGUGGUGAAACCAGUGUU
rnacentral:sRNA from 1 species